CGAGAAAUUUCCCGCUUGCGGGAGAAAGUAAAGUGGCGCACGGGUGAGUAACACGUGGGUAAUCUACCCUUGAAUUUGGGAUGACUUCGCGAAAGCGAUGCUAAUACCGAAUAUUAUAGUUUUAACUCCGGUUUUAAUUAUGAAAGGUGACCUCUUCUUGAAAGUUGCCGUUUAAGGAUGAGCCCGCGUACCAUUAGCUAGUUGGUAGGGUAAUGGCCUACCAAGGCUACGAUGGUUAGCUGGUCUGAGAGGAUGACCAGCCACACUGGAACUGAAACACGGUCCAGACUCCUACGGGAGGCAGCAGUGAGGGAUUUUCGCAAUGGGGGAAACCCUGACGCAACAACGCCGCGUGAGUGAAGAAGGCUUUCGGGUCGUAAAGCUCUGUCAGAUGGGAAAAAAGUUCAUUGAUUAAUAGUCUAUGAAUCUGAUGGUACCAUCAGAGGAAGCACCGGCUAACUCCGUGCCAGCAGCCGCGGUAAUACGGAGGGUGCAAGCGUUGUUCGGAAUUACUGGGCGUAAAGAGCGUGUAGGCGGUAUGAUAAGUCAGAUGUGAAAGCCCUGGGCUUAACCUAGGAAGUGCAUUUGAUACUGUCAUUCUUGAGUAUGGGAGAGGAGAGUGGAAUUCCCAGUGUAGAAGUGAAGUUCGUAGAUAUUGGGAGGAACACCCGUGGCGAAGGCGACUCUCUGGACCAAUACUGACGCUGAGACGCGAAAGCGUGGGGAGCAAACAGGAUUAGAUACCCUGGUAGUCCACGCUGUAAACUAUGAGAACUAGGUGUAGCGGGUAUUGACCCCUGCUGUGCCGAAGCUAACGCAUUAAGUUCUCCGCCUGGGGAGUACGGCCGCAAGGCUAAAACUCAAAGGAAUUGACGGGGACCCGCACAAGCGGUGGAGCAUGUGGUUUAAUUCGACGCAACGCGAAGAACCUUACCUGGAUUUGUCAUCCUCUGACAUCCAUAGAGAUAUGGCUUUUUAUGCUUGCAUAAACAGAGUGACAGGUGCUGCAUGGCUGUCGUCAGCUCGUGUCGUGAGAUGUUGGGUUAAGUCCCGCAACGAGCGCAACCCUUGUUUUUAGUUGCCAUUAUUAAGUUAGGCACUCUAGAAAUACUGCCUCGGUUAACGGGGAGGAAGGUGGGGAUGACGUCAAGUCCUCAUGGCCUUUAUAUCCAGGGCUACACACGUGCUACAAUGGGCUGUACAAAGAGUUGCCACUUCGCGAGAAGGAGCUAAUCUCAAAAAGCAGUUCUCAGUUCGGAUUGAAGUCUGCAACCCGACUUCAUGAAGUUGGAAUCGCUAGUAAUCGCGGAUCAGCAUGCCGCGGUGAAUACGUUCCCGGGUCUUGUACACACCGCCCGUCACACCACGAAAGUCGGUUGUACCAGAAGUUGCUGGGCUAACCCGCAAGGGAUGCAGGUACCUAAGGUACGAUCGGUAAUUGGGGUGAAGUCGUAACAAGGUA
rnacentral:rRNA from 1 species